rnacentral:rRNA from 1 species
UACGGAAGGUCCGGGCGUUAUCCGGAUUUAUUGGGUUUAAAGGGAGCGCAGGCGGGAGAUUAAGCGUGACGUGAAAUGCAGGUGCUCAACAUCUGCACUGCGUCGCGAACUGGUUUCCUUGAGUGGGUACGACGUCGGCGGAAUUCGUGGUGUAGCGGUGAAAUGCUUAGAUAUCACGAAGAACCCCGAUUGCGAAGGCAGCCGACGAGUCCUUUACUGACGCUAAAGCUCGAAAGUGCGGGUAUCGAAC